CUAACUUCACACUCGUGCACUUACUCUAUAGUUGUAUUUGCCCAUACUUGAUAGUGUGAUGUCUCCGUUUAACACCAUGAUAACUGAAACGCUCGCCGUCCGUAUGAUUAAUGUAAACAGAAUCGAACGAGUGUGUUAGAAAGAGAUAGUGAAUAUUUUAUGUAUUCCUAUCUCGGUCUUUAUAGAUAAUACGCCGUGUCGCCGUAUCGUAUUAUUCGUAUUCACUCAUUUCAACGAUCACCAGCACAAUGCGAAUAAUGGGAUGUGGAUAGUUAUUGCGGUCUAUGACUGUCGGUCCUCUACUCUUCUAAAAAUGUUGAUUAUAAUUGCUCCAGUACAAAUGAUGUACAAAAUGAAUUAAUAUUUUACAAGUUAGUAUUAAUAGUUGCCGCUCAAAACGUGGAUAUAUGCUAUCAGGGGACAAAUUUCAAACCUAAUUGUAGUUCAUUUUUAUACAUAUUAUAUUUUACUAAUAAUGACUACAAUAAAACAGCUAAAUAAUAUCAAGAUGAAGAUGCAUAUUCUUUCAGGCAGUGAUAUGGAUCAGAAGAGUAGAGCAAAGAAAAAAAGAAAUUGAGUAUUAUUUUAUUUCAAUCAAAUUUUAAUUGUAUUUUAUGUUACAGGAAAAAUAUCAGAUGAAGAUACAAAUAUUUCCAGGAAGUGGUGAACAUAGAAAAUAAUAUGGGUAGGUUUUAUACCAUAAACACCGGUGGUAUAUUUACUGUUCCAUUCAAUAUUUUUAAGUUAUUUUCUUUUGUUUAGAUUAUAUAAAACUAUACAAUCUUUAAUUCCACUAUAAAUAAUUACAGGGGAGGGGGCUCAAUUUCUAUGAAAUAAUGAUCGGCUAACAUGUAUAUAUCGUAGGCCAUACGGAAAAUUAGUUUUUUUGCGAAAAGACUAGGCUCUUUAUAAUGGGGUA